UACAGAGGUCCCAAGCGUUGUUCGGAUUCACUGGGCGUAAAGGGUGCGUAGGUGGUUAGGUAAGUCCGAUGUGAAAUCUCCAGGCUCAACCUGGAAAUGGCAUUGGAUACUAUUUAGCUUGAGGAGUGGAGGGGGGACUGGAAUUCUCGGUGUAGCAGUGAAAUGCGUAGAUAUCGAGAGGAACACCAGUGGCGAAGGCGGCUCUCUGGACCAGCACUGACACUGAGGCACGAAAGCGUGGGGAGCAAAACAGG
rnacentral:rRNA from 1 species